rnacentral:lncRNA from 1 species
CGGAGCGUUUAGAGUUCCGGCUGCUCCUUAGGGAUCUCUGCCUCCUCACCAGCAGGCUGGGAGCCGGCCCUUCUCGCUGUUUCUGGCGUCUGCCUCCAGCAAGUCCUCCCGUUUCUCUACCUCUUCCCUCAUUUCCCGUCUGCCCAGCUUUGUGUGAAACCAGACGACAAAGGGUGUUCGGAUUAAGAGCCAGAUGUUAGAGAAAUUUCUGGAAUGUUCCAGGUACACCUAUGUCCUCCAACACGAAAGUUAAAGCAUGUCCUUGAGACUUCUCAGACACCACUGCCACUCUCUUAGCUCCCAGCGUUGUUGGUGUGACAUUCAGGAUGCCUAGCAUGCAUGUGAUCAGCAGAGCAGAUGAACUGGAAGAAUGAAAUCCUAUUCUUUCACUCAGCAUACAGCACUGUUACAGGCUUUCUCAGUUCAACAAAUAAAUAUGGGGAACUCGAAGUCAGGUUGAUGGGCAGGGGAGGUGUCUCGUUCAUUUGUUCCACAAAUAUUUAUUGCUUGUCUGCUUUGUGCCAGGCAUUACACUUUGGGUGCUUGGGAUACAUGAAUGAAUA